ACAUGAUAUCUAAACGAUACGAGAUUCCUAAAACAUGUCUCUUCGUUCGUAACUCAACGUUCCCAAAAAAUCAUAAAUGAUUUCUACGAAAACUCACCUCUCGAACGAACUAACAUAUUGAACGCCUCAACGAAGAUAAAUAUGAGUAAACUCACCUCUCGAACGAACUAACAGAUUGAACGCCCAACUAACAGACAACUCAUGUUCACUUCAAACCCGCUCUAAACAAAGUAAACCCAAACAUACAUCCAUUAUAUAAACCGCAUAGCGGUAGGAGUUCAAGGCCACACUCGGCCAGACAUAUAUGAACAAAGGCCACACUCGGCCGCUAAAUACUAGAUAAAGGGAAAAACUCUUUCCCGCCAAAACACUCACAGGUCAAAGUUGAAACUCCCGGACAAGGAAGCCCCGAAUGCAUCCGCGGGAAAGUUCAC
rnacentral:lncRNA from 1 species